rnacentral:lncRNA from 1 species
GCUGCACUGUCCAGGCUUCUGGACUGAGGCAGCAUUUACCAUAGCUGGCAUUUCAAUUAAUUCGCUGCAUUAAAAUAAAAAUGAAGCACCUAUGUGCAGGUAAUGAAUGUGCAUGCAGCUUGUACAAGGACAAAGUAAAAAGCAAAAUAGUUGGUAAAGAGAAUGAGGACUAAUAAAUUGGAAUUUCUCCAUAGCGCCUUGUCUUCCUGUCUAUUAGGGUGGACAAGGAAGGGGGCACCUAUCUGUUAAUCCCAAAGACACUGCAUCAUAGACAUAGGUGGCUUGAAGAGUGCGCUGUGAUGUCAGAGACAAAGUGAAUUGCGCGGCCAACACCACCAGGUAAAUGUCACCUUGUGCCUGGCAGACUCUCCUACCUGCUUCUUGUGAAUUGGUGGGAUCAUCGGCCUCAACAUAGAGCAGCUCGAAGCCUCCUAGUACCGGGUGAGGCAAAGUCCAUUCUCAAGCCUGAUCACCCAGAUGGAACAGAGAAAUCUGUUACCGGCCUCUGAACAUCAACAGCGCAUAAUUAGCAGCUGCUAAAAUAAUGGAAGUCAAUUGAACAAAAAUGUGGCGCGUUCUGCCUUCAUUUAUUAAAUACCUUAUGUUUCCAAACACUGUGCUCCACAGCGGCUGAAGGGCCUUCGAGGGGCAUCGCAGCAAGUAUCCCUCCCUGGGCACCAGACACAAAGAACCGACUGACUUUUGUGAUGAACUUUCCAAACGAGCUGUUGCUACAGCCGACAAACCGACAAGCCGGCCGAGGGACCCGACUACUUCCCCUGAGCCCGACGACAAAAUAGAUUUGUCGCAAGCAAACUACAAUCUUCCUUUGAAGACAUGGAUGACAUAGUAAAACCGAUUGCACUUGAGAGCCGAUUCCAUGACUAUUUUGCUGCAACAGCUCAACAGCCUUUUGUUCCAGAGCGUGUUACGGUUUCACAGAGGAGAGGGAGACUCGAGGCUGCAUGA